rnacentral:rRNA from 1 species
GAUGAACGCUGGCGGCGUGCCUAAUACGUGCAAGUCGAGCGAACAGAUGAGGAGCUUGCUCCUCUGACGUUAGCGGCGGACGGGUGAGUAACACGUGGAUAACCUACCUAUAAGACUGGGAUAACUUCGGGAAACCGGAGCUAAUACCGGAUAAUAUAUUGAACCGCAUGGUUCAAUAGUGAAAGACGGUUUUGCUGUCACUUAUAGAUGGAUCCGCGCCGCAUUAGCUAGUUGGUAAGGUAACGGCUUACCAAGGCAACGAUGCGUAGCCGACCUGAGAGGGUGAUCGGCCACACUGGAACUGAGACACGGUCCAGACUCCUACGGGAGGCAGCAGUAGGGAAUCUUCCGCAAUGGGCGAAAGCCUGACGGAGCAACGCCGCGUGAGUGAUGAAGGUCUUCGGAUCGUAAAACUCUGUUAUUAGGGAAGAACAAAUGUGUAAGUAACUAUGCACGUCUUGACGGUACCUAAUCAGAAGGCCACGGCUAACUACGUG